rnacentral:lncRNA from 1 species
UGAGCUCAACUAGCCCAGUAAAGAAUAUUAUGACUAAGAUAAUAUACAACAAAUUAUCAUUAGUCUUCAACAGGAAAAAAUCUGAUAGAAUAUAAUAGACAACAAGUUUUAGAUCAACAAAAGCAGCGGAAACAUCAAUCCAUUAGACGAGUUACGUAGAGAAUGAAUUCUACUAUCUUCUAAGAUUUAAAAGUCCAUUAUCAAUAUUUAUCUCUG